AACGAACGCUGGCGGUCUGCUUAACACAUGCAAGUCGAACGGAAAGGCCCUUCGGGGUGCUCGAGUGGCGAACGGGUGAGUAACACGUGGGUGAUCUGCCCUGCACUUUGGGAUAAGCCUGGGAAACUGGGUCUAAUACCGAAUAGGAUCAUGGCCUUCAUGGGUUGUGGUGGAAAGCUUUUGCGGUGUGGGAUGGGCCCGCGGCCUAUCAGCUUGUUGGUGGGGUAAUGGCCUACCAAGGCGACGACGGGUAGCCGGCCUGAGAGGGUGCCCGGCCACACUGGGACUGAGAUACGGCCCAGACUCCUACGGGAGGCAGCAGUGGGGAAUAUUGCACAAUGGGCGCAAGCCUGAUGCAGCGACGCCACGUGAGGGAUGACGGCCUUCGGGUUGUAAACCUCUUUCAACUACGACGAAGCGCAAGUGACGGUAGUAGUAGAAGAAGGACCGGCCAACUACGUGCCAGCCGCCGCGGUAAUAC
rnacentral:rRNA from 1 species